AUGAUUUCCGGCAAGGGAGGCGCCGACAUCAGUUUCUCCGUCUGCAAGAUUCGAGGCCGUGGCGCCGCCGAGCGUCCUGAGGAGGAAGCUGGCGCGGUGGUUGACGUCGGUGACUUGGGUGACGGCGAGGUUGCGGAGGCCGAGGCGGGCAACACGGAUGGAGCUGAGCGGGUGCCGGACCUCCAUGGUGUGCUGCAGCACGGUGACGCCGACGGUGGUGUCCAGCGGGGGGCCGCGGAGACGGCCGCAGAGGCAGACGCUGAGGGGCUUGGUGCAGACGGCGCACAUGGGGCGGCGCUGGCCAGGCUCCCGGCGAUGCGGGUCGCUCUGGCCCUCGCGCGCCGCCAUGGGUGGCGAGGUGGGGGGGUCGGUUGA
rnacentral:rRNA from 1 species